ACGCUCGACACCUACGUGAGGCAGCAGUGGGGAAUAUUGCACAAUGGGGGAAACCCUGAUGCAGCAACGCCGCGUGAAGGAAGACGGUUUUCGGAUUGUAAACUUCUGUUCUUAGUGAAGAUAGUGACGGUAGCUAAGGAGCAAGCCACGGCUAACUACGUGUCAGCAGCCGCGGUAAUCUGAGCGGGCUGGCAAGGC
rnacentral:rRNA from 1 species